AGAGUUUGAUCCUGGCUCAGGAUGAACGCUGGCGGCGUGCUUAACACAUGCAAGUCGAACGGGGAUUAUUUCAUUGAAGCUUCGGCAGAUUUGGCUUAAUCCUAGUGGCGGACGGGUGAGUAACGCGUGGGUAACCUGCCUUGUACAGGGGGAUAACAGUCAGAAAUGACUGCUAAUACCGCAUAAGCGCACAGGACCGCAUGGUCCGGUGUGAAAAGCUCCGGUGGUAUAAGAUGGACCCGCGUUGGAUUAGCUAGUUGGCAGGGUAACGGCCUACCAAGGCGACGAUCCAUAGCCGGCCUGAGAGGGUGAACGGCCACAUUGGGACUGAGACACGGCCCAGACUCCUACGGGAGGCAGCAGUGGGGAAUAUUGCACAAUGGGGGAAACCCUGAUGCAGCGACGCCGCGUGAAGGAAGAAGUAUCUCGGUAUGUAAACUUCUAUCAGCAGGGAAGAAAAUGACGGUACCUGACUAAGAAGCCCCGGCUAACUACGUGCCAGCAGCCGCGGUAAUACGUAGGGGGCAAGCGUUAUCCGGAUUUACUGGGUGUAAAGGGAGCGUAGACGGAUGGACAAGUCUGAUGUGAAAGGCUGGGGCUCAACCCCGGGACUGCAUUGGAAACUGCCCGUCUUGAGUGCCGGAGAGGUAAGCGGAAUUCCUAGUGUAGCGGUGAAAUGCGUAGAUAUUAGGAGGAACACCAGUGGCGAAGGCGGCUUACUGGACGGUAACUGACGUUGAGGCUCGAAAGCGUGGGGAGCAAACAGGAUUAGAUACCCUGGUAGUCCACGCGGUAAACGAUGAAUGCUAGGUGUCGGGUGACAAAGUCAUUCGGUGCCGCCGCAAACGCAUUAAGCAUUCCACCUGGGGAGUACGUUCGCAAGAAUGAAACUCAAAGGAAUUGACGGGGGCCCGCACAAGCGGAGGAACAUGUGGUUUAAUUCGAUGAUACGCGAGGAACCUUACCCGGGCUCGAACGGCACCUGGAUCACCCAGAGAUGGGCGAGUCUUCGGACAGGUGUCGAGGUGCUGCAUGGUUGUCGUCAGCUCGUGCCGUGAGGUGUCGGCUCAAGUGCCAUAACGAGCGCAACCCUUGCCGCCAGUUGCCAUCAGGUGAUGCUGGGCACUCUGGCGGGACUGCCACCGCAAGGUGUGAGGAGGGGGGGGAUGACGUCAAAUCAGCACGGCCCUUACGUCCGGGGCGACACACGUGUUACAAUGGCGGCCACAGAGGGAAGCUACCCCGCGAGGGGAUGCGGAUCUCGAAAAGCCGUCCCAGUUCGGACUGGAGUCUGCAACCCGACUCCACGAAGUUGGAUUCGCUAGUAAUCGCGCAUCAGCCAUGGCGCGGUGAAUACGUUCCCGGGCCUUGUGCACACCGCCCGUCAAGCCAUGGAAGCCGCGGGCGCCUGAAGUCCGUGACCGGAAGGAGCGGCCUAGGGCGAAAGUGGUAACUGGGGCUAAGUCGUAACAAGGUA
rnacentral:rRNA from 1 species